ACCCCUGGAAUUCAAACAACCCUUGUGAGCUCUUGUUCGAACUAUGCCCAAUGAGCACCAGAAAGGAACAACUCAUCUGGACUUUUUCUCUCAUAAAACUCAGUGCGAGCUACGCCCUCCCGCCGACACUCUGCCAAUCACCACCCUGGUGCACGUGUGGGUGUGCAAUCGGCAAAGCCCUGGGCAUUAGUUGAUCAUCUGCAGGAGCCAGGUUGGAGUCUGUCUCCCCUCCAGCCUUCCAAAGCGUGAGGGCUGAAAGCCCCUUCAGCAACCACUUAUGGCUUCAUAGGAUGACAUACCUUACAAAUGGAGAAGCUGAGUCUGCUGUGCACACCUUCAAAGGCAGGGACAAGGCAACAUUUCUAACUUUAUUCACUUUCUAGGCAGGAAAGCACAAACUGAACAUAUGCAACAUGAGUGAACAUUCCUGGGUGUGAUUGACUGCUGCAUACAGAGAGAAAUGAACUCAAGACGGCUUACAUUAAAAACAGAAUGAAUCUGGAAUCUUCCCUGAGGAUCUCUUCCAACAUUUCAUAGUGCUCAUGUGCAGACCACCUGCAGUACCCUCACGGACCAGAGGUUGGGAACCACUGCUGGUAUAUGAAACCCGUCAAGGAGAACAGAAGAGUGUGCAAAAAGGAGUGGAUGAUCUCAUGAAUUGGAAGAAAUU